rnacentral:rRNA from 1 species
AACGAACGCUGGCGGCAGGCCUAAAACAUGCAAGUCGAACGAACCUUCGGGUUAGUGGCGCACGGGUGCGUAACGCGUGGGAAUGUGCCUCUGGGUGCGGAACAACGUCGGGAAACUGACGCUAAUACCGCAUAAUAUCUACGGAUCAAAGAUUUAUCGCCCAGAGAUCAGCCCGCGUCUGAUUAGGUAGUUGGUAGGGUAAUGGCCUACCAAGCCUACGAUCAGUAGCUGGUCUGAGAGGAUGAUCAGCCACACUGGAACUGAGACACGGUCCAGACUCCUACGGGAGGCAGCAUUUAGGAAUAUUGGAAAAGGGGGGAAACCCUGAUCCAGCCAUGCGGGGUGUGUGAAGAAGGCCUUAGGGUUGUAAAGCACUUUCGUCUAUGAAGAAAAGGACAGUAGUAGAAGAAGAAGCUCCGGCUAAAUUCGUGCCAGCAGCCGCCGCGG